rnacentral:rRNA from 1 species
UACGAAGGGGGCUAGCGUUGCUCGGAAUCACUGGGCGUAAAGCGCACGUAGGCGGCUACUUAAGUCGGAUGUGAAAGCCCUUGGCUCAACUGAGGAAGUGCACCCGAAACUGAGUGGCUUGAGUACUAAAGAGGGUCGCGGAAUUCCCGGUGUAGAGGUGAAAUUCGUAGAUAUCGGGAGGAACACCGGUGGCGAAGGCGGCGACCUGGGUAGAUACUGACGCUGAGGCGCGAAAGCGUGGGGAGCAAACAGG